UACGUAGGCAGCGAGCGUUGUUCGGAGUUACUGGGCGUAAAGGGUGCGCAGGCGGUGGAGCAAGUCUGUUGUGAAAUCUCCCGGCUUAACCGGGAGGGUGCGGCGGAAACUGUUCUGCUGGAGUGAGGGAGAGGCAAGCGGAAUUCCUGGUGUAGCGGUGAAAUGCGUAGAUAUCAGGAGGAACACCCGUGGUGCAGACGGCUUGCUGGACCUCGACUGACGCUGAGGCACGAAAGCGUGGGGAGCAAACAGG
rnacentral:rRNA from 1 species